UACGUAGGGGGCAAGCGUUGUCCGGAUUUAUUGGGCGUAAAGAGCGUGUAGGCGGUCAGGUAGGUCGGUUGUGAAAACUGGAGGCUCAACCUUCAGAGGUCGACCGAAACCCCCUGGCUAGAGUCCGGGAGAGGAGAGUGGAAUUCCUGGUGUAGGCGGUGGAAAUGCGCAGAUAUCAGGAAGAACACCCGUGGUGAAGGCGGCUCUCGUGGGCCGAUACUGACGCUGGAGGAGCGAAAGCGUGGGAGCGAACGG
rnacentral:rRNA from 1 species